rnacentral:misc_RNA from 1 species
AGACUCAACCUCUCGGGUUUCUGCCCGACCGGUUGGACUUGGGUGUUUUGCCUUGGUUGGCUCACCUGAAAUAUCUUAGUGACUUUUCCUGAGGGAUCUGUGCUGGCGUGAUACGUUUCGCUUGGCCUGCCCUUGGUAGUUGCUCAUAAUCGCCCUUACCGGCAAUAUACUUUGA